GGUACUGAGGAGGGCACCUUUUGGGAUGAGCACUGGGUGUUGUAUGGAAACCAAUUUGACAAUAAAUUUCAUAUAUUGAAAAAAAAUAAAAAUAAAAAUCUUUUCAUCCUUGGGACACUUGGGUGGCUCAGUGGGUUAAGCUUCUGACUUCCCUUCAGGUCAUGAUCUUGUGGUUUGUGGGUUCAGGCCCCGCACUGGGCUCUGUGCUGACAGUGCAGAGCCCGAUGUGGGGCCUGCUUGGGAUUCUCACUCUCUCUCUGCCCCUGUCCCACUCGCUCUCUCUCUUUCUCUCUCUCAAAAUAAAUAAAUAAACUUAAAAAUAUGUAUAGUUUCAUCCUUAUGUGUUAUCUGUAAAAACGGAAUCAAAUCUCUGAAUGUUAAAACAUAUGUACGUAGGGGCGCCUGGGUGGCGCAGUCGGUUAAGCGUCCGACUUCAGCUCGGGUCACGAUCUCGUGGUCCAGGAGUUCGAGCCCCGUGUCAGGCUCUGGGCUGAUGGCUCAGAGCCUGGAGCCUGUUUCCGAUUCUGUGUCUCCCUCUCUGUCUGCCCCUCCCCCGUUCAUGCUCUGUCUCUCUCUGUCCCAAAAAUAAAUAAAUGUUGAAAAAAAAAUUAAAAAAAAAAAAAGAAAACAUAUGUACGUAAUGCUAACAUAUGUUCAUAUAUAAUGUUAAUUUUAUAUAUGCAUGAAAGUUACAGAAGCAGUGCUCUUGUCGCAACCUCUUGUGGUGGGGUAGCUUUCUGUGACCAGCUUGGAUUAUCCUGGAACAAAGAUCUGGAGAACAGGAGCACCUCAAGUCUGAGAGCCUGAUCUGCGCCCUGAAGUCCAGACCUGGACCCCCAACUGCCUUUUUAACAUCUCCGCUUGGAAGUCUAGAAAGCAUCCCAGAUUUGACAUGUCCACAACGGACAUCACGAUUUUUUUCCUUCACAAGCCUGCCUCUUCCUUGGUUUUACCCAUCUUAAUAAACGAUUCCAUUCUUCCA